GGGGAUGUCAUGGUUUCGACAGGAUUUCGUUGGAUUCAGGUUGCAGUGGAGUGGUUGCCUAACAACCAAACAAAAAAAUAACUGGAAAUCAAAAUCUAGCUUACGCUGCCUAAUUUAGUUUAAUCUAAUUGCAGUGCGUCACUACCAAUUUGGUCUUUGGGUUGGUAACUGAUGACAGAAACGAAGACUAAGCUUAACGUUUAUCUAGGGCGUUCUGACGAAAACCUUUACUAGGUAAUUCAUCGUUUGUUUGUCUGUUUCUCAAAUGAUGUCGUAAUGAAAACAGAAUAAACUGUAGAUGCUUGAAUGUGGACAUUUUUUGGACAGGAGUUCGACUCUCCUCAUCUCCACCA
rnacentral:tmRNA from 1 species